GCUGGGUAUAUGGUGUGUGUCUAUAGUUUCAGCUAUUUGGGAGGCUGAGGCGGACGAUAGCUUGAGCCCAGGAGUUCGGGACUGUAGUGUGCUAUGCUGAUCAGGUGUUGGCACUAAGAUCUCCAUCAACAUGGUGAUCUUCCAGGAACGGGGCAGCACCAGGUUGCCUAAGGAGGGGUGAACCUGGCCAGGUUGGAAACAGAACAGGUUAAAACCCCCAUGCUGAUCAGUAGUGGGAUUAGGCCUGUGAAUAGCCACUGCACUCCAGCCUGGGCAACACAGUGAAACCUGACUUU
rnacentral:SRP_RNA from 1 species